UCGUUAGCUCAGUUGGUAGAGCAGUUGACUUUUAAUCAAUUGGUCGCAGGUUCGGGACUCACGCAGUGAGACA
rnacentral:tRNA from 7 species